AGGAUGAACGCUGGCGGCGUGCCUAACACAUGCAAGUCGAGCGAUUCUCUUCGGAGAAGAGCGGCGGACGGGUGAGUAACGCGUGGGUAACCUGCCCUGUACACACGGAUAACAUACCGAAAGGUAUGCUAAUACGAGAUAAUAUGCUUUUAUCGCAUGGUAGAAGUAUCAAAGCUUUUGCGGUACAGGAUGGACCCGCGUCUGAUUAGCUAGUUGGUAAGGUAACGGCUUACCAAGGCGACGAUCAGUAGCCGACCUGAGAGGGUGAUCGGCCACAUUGGAACUGAGACACGGUCCAAACUCCUACGGGAGGCAGCAGUGGGGAAUAUUGCACAAUGGGCGAAAGCCUGAUGCAGCAACGCCGCGUGAGCGAUGAAGGCCUUCGGGUCGUAAAGCUCUGUCCUCAAGGAAGAUAAUGACGGUACUUGAGGAGGAAGCCCCGGCUAACUACGUG
rnacentral:rRNA from 1 species